rnacentral:rRNA from 1 species
AAAGAUUAAGCCAUGCAUGUCUAAGUAUAAGCAAUUAUACCGCGAAACUGCGAAUGGCUCAUUAUAUAAGUUAUCGUUUAUUUGAUAGUACCUUACUACUUGGAUAACCGUGGUAAUUCUAGAGCUAAUACAUGCUAAAAAUCCCGACUUCGGAAGGGAUGUAUUUAUUAGAUUAAAAACCAAUGCCCUUCGGGGCUCACUGGUGAUUCAUGAUAACUCCUCGAAUCGCAUGGCCUUGUGCCGGCGAUGGUUCAUUCAAAUUUCUUCCCUAUCAACUUUCGAUGUUUGGGUAUUGGCCAAACAUGGUUGCAACGGGUAACGGAGGGUUAGGGCUCGACCCCGGAGAAGGAGCCUGAGAAACGGCUACUACAUCCAAGGAAGGCAGCAGGCGCGCAAAUUACCCAAUCCCGACACGGGGAGGUAGUGACAAUAAAUACUGAUACAGGGCUCUUUUGGGUCUUGUAAUUGGAAUGAGUACAAUUUAAAUCCCUUAACGAGGAACAAUUGGAGGGCAAGUCUGGUGCCAGCAGCCGCGGUAAUUCCAGCUCCAAUAGCGUAUAUUAAAGUUGUUGUGGUUAAAAAGCUCGUAGUUGAACCUUGGGCCUGGCUGGCCGGUCCGCCUCACCGCGUGUACUGGUCCGGCCGGGCCUUUCCCUCUGUGGAACCCCAUGCCCUUCACUGGGUGUGGCGGGGAAAACAGAACUUAUUACUGUGAAAAAAAUUAGAGUGCUCCAGGCAGGCCUAUGCUAGAAAUCAAUAGCAUGGAAUAAUAGAAUAGGACGUGUGGUUAUAUUUUGUUGGUUUCUAGGACCGCCGUAAUGAUUAAUAGGGACAGUCGGGGGCAUCAGUAUUCAAUUGUCAGAGGUGAAAUUCUUGGAUUUAUUGAAGACUAACUACUGCGAGAGCAUUUGCCAAGGAUGUUUUCAUUAAUCAGGAACGAAAGUUAGGGGAUAGAAGACGAUCAGAUACCGUCGUAGUCUUAACCAUAAACUAUGCCGACUAGGGAUCGGACGGUGUUAUUUUUUGACCCGUUCGGCACCUUACGAGAAAUCAAAGUGCUUGGGCUCCAGGGGGAGUAUGGUCGCAAGGCUGAAACUUAAAGAAAUUGACGGAAGGGCACCACCAGGGGUGGAGCCUGCGGCUUAAUUUGACUCAACACGGGGAAACUCACCAGGUCCAGACACAAUGAGGAUUGACAGAUUGAGAGCUCUUUCUUGAUUUUGUGGGUGGUGGUGCAUGGCCGUUCUUAGUUGGUGGAGUGAUUUGUCUGCUUAAUUGCGAUAACGAACGAGACCUUAACCUGAUAAAUAGCCCGUAUUGCUUUGGCAGUACGCUGGCUUAUUAGAGGGACUAUCGGCUCAAGCCGAUGGAAGUUU